GGGCAAGACCUAUGAUGAGUGACCAGGUGACAGAGUCAAGUGCCGCCGUGUCCAGGUUUGGGGAGACCCUUCCUUUUGUGGGUCUCAAGUGAGAGGGUUACAUAUUGUGAGGUUGAGAAGCUGCCCUGUCUGGUGUUCCUGAUGUGAUUUGGGAUAUCCACAUAUCCAGGUGCUCCUGAUUUAGUUCGAUAAGUUAUUUAUCAGUUUGUGCCCUAUGUUGUGCCGGGCAGAUGGUGGUACUUUACUUGUGCAAAAAGGGGUGGGGUCAUCCUAUCUUGGCACCUAUAUUACAGCUUUAAAAUAACAGGGUAACUCAGGUUUAGAUACAGUAAGACAACUGCUGUUUUACACAUCAUGGAGUCACUCAGGGCAGGCACGUCCUGAAAGCUGCUGUCCUGCUUGCCAUGGAGUCACUCAGGCAAGCACAGCCUGGAAGCUGCCAUCCUGUACACCAUGGAGUCUGAAGUCCUGGGCUUCUCCCCAAUGCACACACAUUAUUUGUGCUGUUCUGUGGAGAAAAAGUGAUCAUCUUUCAGGGAAGACAGGCCACAUCAGAUGGGAGUACUUACAUGUAGCCUGAGAAACAGCAACAACAUUUUUUAAAAAACUAAAAUGAAAUUUAUCAACCCUUUCUGAAAGUAUGGUCUCUGCUACAUGAAGAGCUCUGUACAGGGUCAGAUAAAAAAUAGAUUAAUCAAUGGUGAUAAUGGUGGUUGUGAUGGAGAUGGAGAUGGUGAUGGAGGUGGAGGUGGUAAUGGUGAUGAUGAUGAAUGGUGAUAGUGAUGGAGAUGGAGAUGGAGAUCUAGUGGUGAUGGUGAUGGAGAUGGUGAUGGUGAUGGUGGUGGAGUGGUAAUGGUGAUGAUGAUGUGAUGGUGAUAGUGGUGGAGAUGGAGAUAGAAAUCUGGUGGUGAUGGUGAUGGAGAUGGUGAUGGAGAUGGAGAUGGUGUUGGUGAUGAUGGAGUGGUGAUAGUGAUAAUGAUGGAGAUGGAGAUGGUGAUGGAGAUGGAGAUCUAGAGUGAUGAGAUGGUGAUGGAGAUGGAGAUAGUGACGGAGAUGGAGUGGUGAUGGAGAUGGUGAUGGAGAUGGCGAUGGUGAUGGUGUUGGAGAUGGCGAUGGUGAUGUGUUGGAGUGGUGAUGUUGAUGGUGAUUGUGGUGUUCAUGGUGAUUGUGGUGUUGAUGGUGAUGGAGAUGGAGAUGGUGUUGGUGAUGAUGAUGGAGUGGUGAUAGUGAUAUUGAUGGAGAUGGAGAUGGUGAUGGAGGUGGUGAUGGAGAUGGAGAUCUAGGGUGAUGAGAUGGUGAUGGAGAUGGAGAUAGUGACAGAGAUGGAGUGGUGAUGGAGAUGGCGAUGGUGAUGGUGUUGGAGUGGUGAUGUUGAUGGUGAUUGUGGUGUUGAUGGUGAUGGUGAUGGAGAUGGUGUUGGUGAUGAUGAUGGAGUGGUGAUAGUGAUAAUGAUGGAGAUGGAGAUGGUGAUGGAGAUGGAGAUCUAGGGUGAUGAGAUGGUGAUGGAGAUGGAGAUAGUGACGGAGAUGGAGUGGUGAUGGAGAUGGCGAUGGAGAUGGCGAUGGUGAUGGUGUUGGAGAUGGCGAUGGUGAUGGUGUUGGAGUGGUGAUGUUGAUGGUGAUUGUGGUGUUCAUGGUGAUUGUGGUGUUGAUGGUGAUGGUGAUGGUUAUGGAGAUGGUGAUGGUGAUUGUGGUGUUGAUGGUGAUGAGAUGGUGAUGGUGAUUGUGGUGGUGAUGGUGAUGGUGUGAUGAUGAUGAUGGAGUGGUGAUGGUGAUGAUGAUGAUGGAGAUGGAGAUGGUGAUGGAGAUGGUGAUGGGAGAUGGAGAUGGAGAUGGUGAUGGGAUGGUGAUGGAGAUGGAGAUCUAGGGUGAUGAGAUAGAGAUGGAGAUGGAGAUCUAGUGGUGAUGGGAUGGUGAUGGAGAUGGAGAUCUAGGGUGAUGAGAUGGUGAUGGAGAUGGAGAUAGUGACGGAGAUGGAGUGGUGAUGGAGAUGGUGAUGGUGAUGGUGAUGGAGAUGGCGAUGGUGAUGGUGUUGGAGUGGUGAUGGUGAUGGUGAUUGUGGUGUUGAUGGUGAUUGUGGUGUUGAUGGUAAUGGAGAUGGUGAUGGUGAUGGUGAUGGAGAUGGUGAUGGAGAUGGCGAUGGUGAUGGUGUUGGAGUGGUGAUGGUGAUGGUGAUUGUGGUGUUGAUGGUGAUUGUGGUGUUAAUGGUAAUGGAGAUGGUGAUGGUGGUGGUGAUGGUGAUGGUGUGAUGAUGAUGAUGGAGUGGUGAUGGUGAUGGUUAUGGAGAUGGUGAUGGAGGUGGUGAUGGUGAUGGAGUGGUGAUGAUGAUGGUGAUGGCGAUGGAGAUAGAAAUGGUGAUGGUGUGAUGAUGGUGAUGGAGUGGUGAUGGUGAUGGUUAUGGAGAUGGUGAUGGUGAUUGUGGUGGUGAUGGUGAUGGAGUGGUGAUAGUGAUGGUGAUGGAGUUGGUGAUGGUGUGGUGACAGUGAUGGAGUAGUGAUGGUGAUGGAGUGGUGAUAAUGAUGUGAUGAGUAGUAAUGGUGAUUAUAAGUUGUGGGUGAAUUAGGUGUUGUCAGUGUAGGUCGGGAGUUAUUCGGUCUACAGGGC
rnacentral:lncRNA from 1 species